AGCGAACGCUGGCGGCAGGCUUAACACAUGCAAGUCGAACGGGCGUAGCAAUACGUCAGCGGCAGACGGGUGAGUAACGCGUGGAACGGUACCUUUUGGUUCGGAACAACACAGGRAAACUUGUGCUAAUACCGGAUAAGCCCUUACGGGGAAAGAUUUAUCGCCGAAAGAUCGGCCCGCGUCUGAUUAGCUAGUUGGUGAGGUAACGGCUCACCAAGGCGACGAUCAGUAGCUGGUCUGAGAGGAUGAUCAGCCACAUUGGGACUGAGACACGGCCCAAACUCCUACGGGAGGCAGCAGUGGGGAAUAUUGGACAAUGGGCGCAAGCCUGAUCCAGCCAUGCCGCGUGAGUGAUGAAGGCCCUAGGGUUGUAAAGCUCUUUUGUGCGGGAAGAUAAUGUCGGU
rnacentral:rRNA from 1 species